GGUGUUUAUUUUCUAAUUCAUCAUAGGUGGAAGAAAAGUAUCAUAUGAAGAGCAAAGAAAAAGGAGCCAGUGAGAGAGUCCUAGGCUUUCCCAGACUGAUGGAAACAAGACUGACUGUAACCAUGUUCAGCUGCUGACAGUGUGAAAUUGAGUUGUAUGGUGGACAGAAGACAAGCAGUCAAGAGAAAUCCCCAAAGCCACAGUUACUUAAAGAAACAAAUAUGUCUCAGACCAGUAAUUACUCGUGCCUGGCAAGAACAGGGGCUCUGACUAAAGAGCAGCGACUUGAGGGGUGGUUAGAGAAGAACC